GCCGUAAACGAUGGGCACUAGGUGUCGGGGUCGCAAGGCCUCGGUGCCGCAGUUAACGCAUUAAGUGCUCCGCCUGGGGAGUACGCACGCAAGUGUGAAACUCAAAGGAAUUGACGGGGACCCGCACAAGCAGCGGAGCAUGUGGUUUAAUUCGAAGCAACGCGAAGAACCUUACCAGGACUUGACAUCCCUCUGACCGGUCUUUAACAGGACCUUUCCUUCGGGACAGAGGUGACAGGUGGUGCAUGGUUGUCGUCAGCUCGUGUCGUGAGACGUU
rnacentral:rRNA from 1 species